GCCCCAGCUUGUCUCCAGGAAGUUUGUUUAUAUCCAGACUCAGCUGCCUUUUCUCGUCGUAGUUCAUGGGCUUGGCGUUGUCUUCCUCUUCGGACUUGAGGAGCGGCUUCUUCUUCUUUGGCUGACUGUAACCAGACUUACGCAAUGGUACUUGGGACAGAACUUGUAGCUGCUGAUGAACAGCAUUAAGCUGGGAAAGGAAGAAAUAAACAAUGAGCAUUCUUUGAUCUAAAUCAUUAACGAUACUAGAAACACACAGGACACCGAAGUCAUGCCCACUCUUUGUAAAACUCAUUCCAUACUUUAUUUCCUUCAGGAUUUUGCCUCACUUUUACAAGUUCGGUGUUUGGAAAGGCAUACACACAACUUCAAACACUAUCUCAUGUUCAACCCAAAAACUUUUUAUCUAAAAUUAGUUCAGGAGGGCUGAAAACAUGGCUCAAUAAUACAACACUUGCCUAGCCUGUGAAAGGUCCUAGAUUUGAACCCAGCAUUACAAAUCAAUCAAUCAAUCAAUUAAUAAUAAAUUAGUAUACUAUAGUAAUAAAGUUAAUACAGCCCAAGAACAGUUAUCUUGUGUGUGUGUGUAGUUGUGAAUAGCCUGACACAAAUGCUAGGACUUGAACUCCGGUCCUCUGGAAGAACAGCCCGUAACUGUAACUACUGAACCAUCUCUCCAGUCCUACUCUUCAGGCAUGACCUCAGAAAAGGUCACUAUUUUAUCACACAACACAGUAAGUGAUCUCAUUUAUAAAAUCUUCCACAUUAUACCUUAAAUCACUUCAGUAAGAAUCAACACUCAGACUCCAGAGUUGUAAAUAACCCCGAGGCGUCCUGGUACACACCAGCAGUUCUGGAUUCCAGCACUUGAGAGGUAUAGGCAGAAGGGUCAGAAGUUCCUGACAAGCCAGGGUACAUGAGACAGUUUCGAAGAGGAGGAGGAGAAGGAAGAGGAGAAGGAAGAGAAGGAGGAAGAGGAAGAGAAUAAGGAGGAGGAGAAGGAAGAGGAGGAAGAGAAGGAGGAAGAGGAAGAGAAUAAGGAGGAGAAGGAAGAGAAGGAGGAGGAGGAGUGGAGGAGGUGGUGGUGGUAGUGGCUUUAGCAUUGGACAGCACACAGAUUAAACCUGGCAAAUUUGCCAAGAAGCAACUAAAGCUUAUCGGCAGCAGUUGGGCCACCAGCGCUUGCGGCACCUGCUCCUGAAGCUUGGCAAGAUGCUGGACGCGCUCAUCCUCGGAGUAUUCUGAAGAGCAGUCUCCAGAGGAGGCCUCGCUGCUGCUUUCUCCGCUGAGGGCUUUUGCACCGUGUGCUGCAAGGUGGUAUGCAUGUGUGCUCUCCACAGGCGCAUCAGGAAUCUUGGCAAAAUGCAUUUCAAAAACGUCCUGUAAUGACAAAUUAGUCUGUUCUCAUUUCUUUUUGGUUUGAGACAGUUUCACCAUGUUCAGUCUGGCCUGGAACUUGAAAUCCUCCUGCCUACCUCCAGAGUGCCAGGAUUGUGGGCACAUGCCACCUGGUUUGGUUUUCUUUGUUUCUGAUUUCAUGCAACAAGAACCCUUUAAAGCACACAUGGACAUUUGGGGCAGACUUCUUUAAGAUGUCCCAGAAGUGUGAGAUGGCGCUUGUGUCUGCCUGCCUCAGCACAUUUCUCGGCAGUAUCAACCGUGGCUCAGCAGCUGGGUAGUUAAGGGUUUCUCUUCGUAGGCCUGGAUGUCCUGGAACUCACUAUGUAGAGCAGCCAGGCUUUGAACUUACAGAGAUCCACCUUGUGUCUAUCCUGAGCUACCUGGAUUAAAGGUGUGUGCCACCAUGCCUGCCUGCUUUUCUUUUACAACUUUAUGUAUAUGUGACUCCCUCGAAUGUAUAUCGGCAUACCAUGUGGAUGCCUGGUGUCCAAAGACUCCAGAAGAGGAGGGCAGUGGGUCUCCUGAAACUGGAGUUCCAGGAAAGACCACUCUAAAGCCACUAUGUGGUGCUGAGAACUGAACCUGGGUCCUCCACAAGAGCAGAAAGUGCUUUUAACCAUCGAGGCAUCUUUCUACCCCAAGAAUGUAAUUUUCUACCAAGCACAUCAGUGGCAAUCGAGAAUGAUUUCAGAGCUGAAUUAAAGUCGGCGUUUUCCUGUUCCUGGCACCUUUAGCAGCCUCCUAACUGAAGUGUACCCAGCUUCUGGAGAAAACGUCACAAAACCUGGCAUGAGGCUGGGUCUCAUAACUAGUGGGUGCGCUUGGCUUUUCUGCAGCAGCUUUCUUAGGACCCUGCCUCCUUCCCAAAGGAGUGGCAAGUUGCUUGACAGCAGAUGAGCGCCGGAAUGCCAUUAAAGUGUUGAGGGAAAGUGACUUGGUUCUGAAUUCUACAGUCAGUAAAGAAUCAUUCAAGCUGCUUCUCUAUGGAACUGAGCUGCCUAUAAAGUCCUUAAAGAAUGACCACUGAUUUUGACUUUCAACUUACAGAACAAACUCAGAGGGGGACAGCAGAAUACAAGAAAUGAGGGCAAACACAAAGUUUAGUAACAUGUUAACAAACUUUACUAUAUUGAUUAAAAAAUAAUGAAACAAAACUGUGCUUUAAAGAGAGCCAGGGCUGCUGAGGACCUGAUCAACGUCCGCUAGCCUGUAAAAUGGAUGUGUUUACAGGAAAAAUGAGAAGAUGUAUUUAAAAUGUCCCAGUGAUCCUCUUCAGGUGUUAGUAUUCUGCUGAUGUAAUUUUCUUCACAAUUUUCUGGACAUUAGAUUGGAUUUCUUUGCAAUAAUGAAAUGCUCUUAUAAUCAAGACAAGAAAAGAAAGCUCUUCCCACUCAGGCAGGUAUUUACCUUGAUAGUCCCGAGAUCCAUGGGAUUUUUGACAAUGUCAUAGUAGUUGUGCAGUCCCAGGGCGUCGGCGUCCACAGGAUUAUAGAAG